rnacentral:rRNA from 3 species
GCUUGGACUACAUAUGGUUGAGGGUUGUAAGACUAUGCAAAUUAA